UACAAAGGAAAUUCUCAGGAUGAGGAGUUUGGUGUCUACGGGCUAUUGAGGUUGGAUAAGGAUUGAGUCAAAGGGCUUCUGGUUUGAGGCAGUGGUGAUUCAGGUUCUGCAGGAGCUUCAAGUUAGCAUCGACAUCAGUUGGAAAUUUUGGAGAAGAAGAAUCAGUAGAUUUGUAGUCACGAUCACAGUAAGUGUGACAAACCAAAGAUGACAUUGAACAGGUAGCGUCAGAGAAAGCAGAUGGCGUUCGUUUGUGGUA
rnacentral:lncRNA from 1 species